GGCGCCUUGGUUACGUUUGCCCCGAAGAAGUGGCACCCAUGUUACAGCAGUUUAUACGCCCGUGGUGUUCAUCAUUGCGGAACAUUAGGGACAACGAAGAGAAGGACUCUGCCUUCCGCGGCAUCUGCAGCAUGAUCAGUGUGAACCCCGGUGGAGUUGUGCACGACUUCAUUUUCUUCUGCGACGCCGUUGCAUCCUGGGUCAACCCCAAGGCAGACCUGAAGCAGACUUUCCAUGAGAUACUCCACGGCUUCAAGAACCAGGUUGGUGAUGAGAAUUGGCAGCGCUUCUCAGAACAGUUUCCACCUGCCCUCAAGGAGAGGCUCGCAACCAAUUACGGUGUCUGAGAAAGGGUGCCUUCCAUGGGAAGUAUUGAAAGGCGUCGUGUGAAGAAGACACGGGAGUGGAGAAGAAAGUGCACACGCCACGAGUGUUUUUUCUCUACGCAACCAGAGGGUAGCCACAGAAGAAGAAACUGAUGUGCCCCCCUCCAAGCCGCUGCCACCGUUCUCGUGCUGGGCCCAAACCGCCUCCGCGUCAUAGCGCCAGUCAUCGCGAAAAGAACCGGGGAGGGAGGGGGAGUGUCCGCGUUGUUAGUUGGGGGUUCCCUAAAGCUAAAGAGUGAGAGUAAAAACAAAACAAAACCGCGCGUUCGCGUUUUCACCUCGCGGGAUGGACAUGUAAAAAAUCGCGUUCGCGUACUCGUGUGAUGGACAUGGUAAUCUCGCGUGCCUCCGAGGGGGGUUUAAAAAUGGUCUCGUCCGCCAAAACUCUUUCGUGAGAGUUUGUUCGCGUCCGGUUCGGGAUAUCUUCGCGUCGCCGUAUCUCCGCUAGGUCAUAUGGACGGGUUAACGAAAAGGUGAAAACGCGCCUUGUGUGUGCAGCGAACCUGCGUGACAAAAGGAAAUCUGGAUGUUGUGUGGACGGCAACGGCACAUUCGUCAGCCUCGGGAGAAAUCAAAGGUGCUCUACUCCGGCUGCUCGGGACGAGCAAAAGGACGGAAGCGGCUCCACCCUGCGUGGACGGGAGAAACUGGACUCUUCCGUCGUCAGAAAAACGGUCCGUCGCCGCUAAACCGUGUGAUGCGCCCUCCGUGGGACUUGUGCCGAACUUGCGUGCCGCAGCGUCAACAGUGGAUUAUCCGCAGAGAAAAGCGCAUGCCAAAUCCUUCUAGAGCCAAUGAAAAGAAGCGAAACUUUUCUUUUUUUUUCGCGGCCCUCAGGUGCCGUUUACAAGCAUUCUCUCUAGGUCGUUUUUCCAAUGUAAGUUUGCAGUGACUGCCGCAGUCACGUGUUGUUGCGCAAUUUUUUUUUUUCGUUCCGGGAUAAGUCAGUAAGUUACCUCGCGGAUGCAAUCGAUAGUCUACGCGUUGUUAGAUCACCGCUAUAAAUGCGCGAUAAGGGUUAUAUGUGCUUUUUCUCCCCUUUAGUGAGACGUAUAUUCUUCUCCUCGUGUCCGCUGCAUCGUGGCUCGUUUAUUUUAUUGUUAUGCCACAUAAAAAAAAAACGUUCUUUCAAUCCUCUGUCGCGACGUUGGGGUUUCUGCCAACUAGUGUGCUAACUUUUUUCGCUGUGUAGUUGUAACAAAGCUGUUUUUGAAUUGAGCGACAGUCUUGUUUUACUGUGCAUUGCUAGGAUGUCCUUUUCAUUUUUGCCAAAGGCAGCUUUUUCCUCUGUUUUUCUUUGUUGUACUUAAGGAGACUAUUUUUACUGUUUUUGUACAGUGUUAAAAAAAAAGAAUGACUGUCAGCUUGUUUUUUAGUGUCAUAAAAAAUUAACGAAGUUCCUCUGAUUAUUUUCUCCCUUUUUCUUAAUGUACUCGUGAACAGGAACGCGACAAGUUUUCAACGCGUGUGUCGGGGGUCCUCAGGUUACACUGUUUUUCGCUGGUUAGUCAGUAUAGCAACUUAGGAGAGUGAAACAAAUUGGUCAUUUUGUUUUAACUUUAUUGUUAGGUUAAUAUUUUUUUUUUACUUAUACAAUUUUUCUCAAAGGAUCUGUGAUGUUACAAAUACUAGAGUGCAAGAUGAAUCGUUGUUGUACAGGAAGUAAUUCUUCACGUAUCGCUUUUUCCAUCAUUUAUUUUUCACGGACGACACACAUAACAUGGGUGGGAUGGGUGGGAACCGCGUGAAUGUGUAGUAGCGAGUGCGCGUGUGACUGCGUGUUAUUUUUUUUUUUUUUCUCCUUCGCGUUUUUAACUUUAUUUUUUUCAUCGCCGUCGUCGACACGUCACACAAACACACAACUUCUUGUCAUUCCUCGUGACGACAAGCUCGUUUAAAAAGUCGGUUUUUUGGGGCGCGUUUAGAAAGUAAAAAAACUUCGUAAGGAACCGGACAAACGGAAAUAUCGCGUUUAUCGAAACGGGAUUGGUUUUUUGCUCGCGGCUCAGUGGAAGGCACGAAUCGCGUUGGCCAGCGCCCUUGGUCCCCGGUUUGUUUUUCUCGUAUUUGUCCGUCAUGUGAUGCCCUUCCUGAAAGUCCCAAGAUUCCUUCGCUGCUUUUUUUUUUUUUUUUUUUUUUUCUUGCGGCCGGAAUCUGAAGUUUUGCGACUCCGUAUGCACUGCGUCUUUGACCGCGGGCGAUUUGUUUUGCUGUUUUCCUUGUUCCUAAAUUCUGGCAGAGUAGCUAGCCGACGCUGUCGGUAGCAAGCACCCCCGAACUUUGUGUAAUGCUGGGCUGGUCCCUGCUUCUUGUUUUUUUUUUCUUCCUAUUGUGUUGAAUCGCCUACUUCGUUCUGUUUCCAUUUCCUAUCCCCAAGUGGCUUGUCUCUUAGAUAGGCCCUUGAUGUGGCUGCCAUGUUGUAUGUUCAUCAAGCUAUCUGCUGGCAUUCCUCCGCACCUCUUGCACAUUUUUUUGCUGGUUUAAUGUCGGCAUCUGUGGUCGCGUGUGGUGAAAAGUGGUUUAAUUUCUCUGUUUCCCGUUGGUGUCACACCUUCCCCCUCUCUCUCGCCUUCUCCAGAAUGCGGGAGUUUUUAAGCCUUCCUGGAAGGCAGUCUUGUUUCCGUUAGAUGUGUUUGCACACGCGUACCUGCCUUUUUGGAUAAUAUUUGGGUCACCAGUCUCGGAAAUAUGCUUGUCAUAGUGGUUCAUACUUUUGAUGGUAGCAGUUUUUUUUUUUUUUUUUCCAGUUGUUGGUGUGCCGUGAUGCUUAUCCGUUUUCGUUAUCUUUUCCCUCACCUUUGCCAUUGGUGUGUAGAGAUAUGUGAUGGUGAUUUAUUGCAUGUGGCAUAACACUUGCCAGUUGUUCCAUAUUUCUUGCUCUGUGCCAUGACAAGGUUUUUUUUCUCUCUCUCUCAACAAUGUUGAACCUAUUGCAGAUUUAUUUUUGCAUGUUUCUCGUGUGUGGAGGAAAGUUGGAAAAGAUUGUGUAUUAUUAAUAGUCAUUCUGUGUGCAAAGAGGCACUAAUUAUUCCUCACCACUGUUAUUCAGCGACAGAAAGUGAUAGGAAGAUGGGAAAAAAUAUGGAACUGCCUUCUGUUAUUCAGUGUUGUUAAAAACCAAAAAAGAAAUAGCGAUAUUGACUUCCUGCUUUUUUCUCUGUGUAAUGUGCAUGAGUUUGUGUGUACCUUGGUUUUUAUUCACUUCAGAACAUUCACCUGAAAAAAAAAAUGCAUGCAGUUGUUUCAAACAC
rnacentral:lncRNA from 1 species